rnacentral:rRNA from 1 species
UAGGGAAUCUUCGGCAAUGGGGGCAACCCUGACCGAGCAACGCCGCGUGAGUGAAGAAGGUUUUCGGAUCGUAAAGCUCUGUUGUAAGUCAAGAACGAGUGUGAGAGUGGAAAGUUCACACUGUGACGGUAGCUUACCAGAAAGGGACGGCUAACUACGUGCCAGCAGCCGCGGUAAUACGUAGGUCCCGAGCGUUGUCCGGAUUUAUUGGGCGUAAAGCGAGCGCAGGCGGCUUGAUAAGUCUGAAGUUAAAGGCUGUGGCUCAACCAUAGUUCGCUUUGGAAACUGUCAAACUUGAGUGCAGAAGGGGAGAGUGGAAUUCCAUGUGUAGCGGUGAAAUGCGUAGAUAUAUGGAGGAACACCGGUGGCGAAAGCGGCUCUCUGGUCUGUAACUGACGCUGAGGCUCGAAAGCGUGGGGAGCGAACAGGAUUAGAUACCCUGGUAGUCCACGCCGUAAACGAUGAGUGCUAGGUGUUGGAUCCUUUCCGGGAUUCAGUGCCGCAGCUAACGCAUUAAGCACUCCGCCUGGGGAGUACGACCGCAAGGUUG